AGUAANAGAAUAACCCGAUGACAUCACACACACCGUGAAAGACGACCAGGGAUAAUUGAUCAGUGGAUGGCUGGCUGGCUCUGCAGCACCCGAGUCGACUCCGUCUGUGAAGACUGAUUGAAUAAGGCUACUGAUGAGGCUAUUGUGGCCGUAGGUACGUGGUGUGAAUGCCUGACAGGCCCGUGGCUGUCGUCACUGACUGGCUGCCAUUGUGGCAGUCCACUGGGCCGUGACUUCCCCAGCUGUGGUAUAUAGCAUAUCAUGAGCCACUUAAGUGAGUAUUGGGAUUGUGCAGUUGAUAGACGGAUCAUUAGGAUAUCAUUGGCACGACCAUACACAUGCAUGAAGCUCUGUUUUUAGGUGACCUUUUUUUUCCCUUGCUAUGCCUUGAGCAUUUUGGAAAGCUUCGCAUUUGGGACACUUUAUUGCUGCUUUUUAUUCUCAUCCAUUUUCCAUUCUUUUUUUAAAUUAGAGGAGCAGAGGACAAUGCAGUCUAUAGCAUUUCACCUUGUUUGUUGACUAGCUAUGUGGAGGCAAAAAUGCCCUGAGGUGAAACUGAAAAUAAUAAAUAAAUGCUUGCAUAAAUUCAUUCAAUUUAAUGCAGCAGUGAGGAACACAAGCUAAUCUAACUGUGGAAGCAUAGCAAUAGAUUAGGAGCCAAAUGUGAUGUUAAUGAAUUUGUUGCAGGUUGUGUGAUGUGAGUCGGCUCAAUGACAGUGUAUUUAUAGCAGCCUUUGAUAUACAAAAAAAUGAAUUCUCAUUUAGACGUCCGUAAUUGCAGAUCUUAACAACACAGGGCUUCUUUGAGACAUUUGUUCAUAGCACCCUCUGCAGCUCUGCAGAUGUUGAUUUCACCUGCUCAAGGGUAGUGACAUUCAGUUUGUGGUUAUCUGGUUAUUUGUGGUUACUAUCUGUGUUCUAUAAAUGUAGAAGGACAGCCACUGUUUUUAAUGUAAAAAGCUCAGAUUUUUCUUUUCUUUUUCAACGAAACAUGAACAAGACUAACGCCUCAUUUCCACAUGGCUGUGUCACAUGCAAGUCAAUCAGAAGUACAUUCAUUCCUAUGGGAACCUCCAUGAUCUCUGACAUGUUUGUGAAACUCCUCCUUCUGUUUUUAUUUUGGUCGAGAAUUUGCCUCGAGUACUUUGAAAAUUUUAACUUUUGUGGUAGAUUUUGGACAGACUGUAUGCACUGCUACCAAGCCCCCAGGAGCAGCGCCAGGCUUUGGAGCCAAUUUUACACAGUGGCCAAAAGUAGAAUUACACCAUGUGGUCACCAUCACGUGAUGCCAUUGGGCCCAAAAAGACUUUCUCCGAUAGACUUACAUUGUGAAAGAAGAGUCUGUACAUCAGUGGAUAAAUUUUUUGUGCAUCACAACCCCCGCAAAAUGACUCACUAGCAGGUUGUGAUCCAUUUGGUCUGAUAAGAUUUCAAAAGUCUGGAAGAGCCGAAUGAUUAAAUCAUUUUAUCCCAAUUCAAGUUAGUGGAACACCAAAACAGGAAGUUAGCUGCUCAGCCACACUCGGCCACGCUUGCUCUAUCGCAGGAAUGAACGGGGGCCCACCUGCACCUCGAACGCUGUAUCCAGGUGUCUUUAUACAUCCAAGCAUAAAAACGAAUUAGCUAACAGAUAAAUGGAUGUAAUACAGCUCUAUUCAGCCAUUUUUUUUUUUGAGUAAUAAGCAUGUCGGCAUGUGCUAACAUUGGUCGCAUGCUAGCUGUGUAAUAUAUACAGUGGAUUCAUAGGGGAUCAUACAUCUUUUGACAAAAUAGUUUAAAAAAAAACUGGUGACACACCUGAAAAGCAACCUCCUCUCUUACUUGUCGCCAUGCACAAUUGGUCAGUACUGCUCCCUGUGCAUUUUCCACAAGACUGGAUGACAAAAACACUAGAAACACUAAAACACAAAAAUUAACUUUUUGCCACAUAUCUGCAAUGAUGUUAUCCAUCCAUAAAGUGAUGCAUUUACUUGCAUUGAACACUAGGGGCGUACUCUGCAUACUAAACAAUAAGGGUACAAAACUAACUGUGAAAACAAGGCACAGCAGUGCUUUGAGCUAAAUGCAGGGGCACACCGUCAGUGAGGCAAGUCAGGGUAAAUGUUUGGGGCCCUAAAAAGAAUUUGGGAAAAAUCGCCUUCAAUGGCUACCCAUAUUGGCACAUUUUGCAAAGCAUCAUAAACUGCCUUAACCCUACCAAAAAGGCACUGUUCAGCACACCGCCACUUUCCCAAAAAACCCUUAAAAAGGGCCCCUUCUGUUGUAUGACCUUGAUGGGCUUCUAGGAUCACCACUGGCUAAAUGCUAAUGUCUAAAUGCUAACAUGCUCACAGUUCACCAUCUUUGUUUGAUGUGUUAGUUUGCUAACAUUUGCUAAUUAGCACUAAACACAGCAUCUAGAUGAAGCUAAGGGGAAUGUCAUUAAAGGUGCAGUGUGUAGGAUUCCAGAGGAGCCAUCAUUGGCAGAAAUGGAAUAUAAUAUAAUAAGUAUGUUUUCUUUAGUGUACAAUCACCUCAAAAUAAGAAUCAUUAUGUUUUUGUUACCUUAAAAUGAGUUGUUUAUAUCUACAUAGUGUUGGGAAUAGAAUGAUUUUAUGUAUUUUACUAUAAGUUGUGUUUCACUAUAUAAGUUUUAGAUAUGUGAACAAUGAGAAUACUGAGAUGAUUUCAGCUGAUCUGAAUGUGUUUGCUUUGCAGAAGUGGAGAAGUACAGGAGAGGAAGAGACAUGAAGUCUGAGGAGCACAUACCGCAAUGCUUAGAUAAUUAGUUUCAUAUAUGGUAAAAAGAAUAGAAAGUGAUGUACAGAUAGUAAGGUACAGCACGUGUAGGGAGUUGUGUUGUUCUCUUGUCUUUCAAAACAGGAACCACGCCCCCACCGCCAGCGGGAAGGAGUCAGAUUAACACGAGGCAGGGGCGUGGUGUGGUGAAGGAGGAAGUGGAACUGCCAAUGAGAAGAGGACAACGCCUUGCGUGCACAAUGACACUCUGUUACGCUCAAAUAUACUGGGUCAGGGAAAGGACAGGAGGUCAGACUUCGUGAACUGACACACCUUUGUUGUUCGUCAGGGACGUGAAGUUGAGGCCCAGAGCUCUGUAAUUUUAUUCCUUUACUGCUUAAUAAACUACAUUAACUGAGACCGAA